UGGGGAAUAUUGGACAAUGGGCGCAAGCCUGAUCCAGCCAUGCCGCGUGAGUGACGAAGGUCUUCGGAUUGUAAAACUCUUUUGGCGGGGACGAUAAUGACGGUACCCGCAGAAUAAGCCCCGGCUAACUACGUGCCAGCAGCCGCGGUAAUACGUAGGGACCAAGCGUUGUUCGGAUUUACUGGGCGUAAAGGGCGCGUAGGCGGCAUGACAAGUCACUUGUGAAAUCUCUGGGCUUAACCCAGAACGGCCAAGUGAUACUGUCGCGCUAGAGUGCAGAAGGGGCAAUCGGAAUUCUUGGUGUAGCGGUGAAAUGCGUAGAUAUGUGGAGGAAUACCGAUGGCGAAGGCAGCCCCCUGGGAUAACACUGACGCUCAUGCACGAAAGCGUGGGGAGCAAACAGGAUUAGAUACCCCAGUAGUCCCUGAGCGGGCUGGCAAGGCGCAU
rnacentral:rRNA from 1 species